rnacentral:rRNA from 1 species
UUUAAAAAAAAAAACUUUCAACAACGGAUCUCUUGGUUCUCGCAUCGAUGAAGAACGCAGCGAAUUGCGAUACGUAAUAUGACUUGCAGACGUGAAUCAUUGAAUCUUUGAACGCACAUUGCGCCUUAAGGUAUUCCUCAAGGCAUGCGUGAAUGAGCGAUAUUUACCCUCAAACCUUUGGUUUGGUCUUGGCCCUAAAUAUCAAACGGUACUAGAAUAAGUUUUAGAACCUCUACUCCUUCCUCAUUUUCGUAAGACUACCCGCUGAACUUAAGCAUAUCAAUAAGCGGAGGAAAAGAAACCAACAGGGAUUGCCUCAGUAACGGCGAGUGAAGCGGCAAAAGCUCAAAUUUGAAAUCCCCCGGGAAUUGUAAUUUGAAGGACCUAUUAAAACCCUGAGAGAGCCCAAAGUCCAUUGGAAAAUGGCGCCAUAGAAGGUGAUAGCCCUGUGUGGACCUCUCUCAGCAUACUUUUUAGGCCCAAAGAGUCGAGUUGUUUGGGAAUGCAGCUCUAAGUGGGUGGUAAAUUCCAUCUAAAGCUAAAUAUUGGCGAGAGACCGAUAGCGAACAAGUACAGUGAUGGAAAGAUGAAAAGCACUUUGAAAAGAGAGUGAAAAAGUACGUGAAAUUGUUGAAAGGGAAGGGCUUGCAAGCAGACACAACCUCGGUUGGGCCAGCAUCGGGGCGGGGGGAAACAAAAAAGGUGUGGAAUGUGGCUCUUACGAGUGUUAUAGCCCCACCCAAUAUUUCCAUCCCAUCCCGAGGCCUGCGAU